rnacentral:rRNA from 1 species
UGCAGAGACCUCAAGCGUUAUCCGGAAUCAUUGGGCGUAAAGCGUGCCGAUAGGUGGUUUAUUAAGUUUUGGGUAAAAGCCAGAAGCUCAACUUCUGCGUUUGCUCAAAAUACUAAUAGACUUGAGGGACAAAGAGGUGGCUGGAACGAACGGUGUAGUAGUGAAAUGCGUUGAUAUCGUUCGGAACACCGAAAGCGAAGGCAGGCCACUGGGUGUCACCUGACACUGCUAGGACGAAAGCGUGGGGAGCGAAUGGG